AUGACCGUGACGCUCCAGGAUAUGACUAUGAUCACCGAUAUUCCUAUCGAUGGGAAUCCUCUAUGUAUGAACACCGAUUCUGAUGGGUGGCGCGCGCAGAUGCAUGCCCUUAUCGGUAUGGUUCCUCCGGAGCCUCGGGAACCAGAAGCAGAAGACAAGAAGAAGGAAAGAGUCGCAACUGGUGCUCCUUUCACGUGGAUUACAUCGCACUUUGGUACUUGCCCUGAGGAAGCUGAUGAGGACACGGUCAAGACAUAUGCUCGUGUCUACAUGUGGUACGUGAUAUCCAGGACUAUGUUUGUUGAUGGCACAGGCAAGAAUGCUCCAUGGAUGUGGCUGAAGGCGUUGACCGUCUUCGAUAGCAAAUGGAGUUGGGGUUCGGCGACACUGGCUUACUUGUAUAGACAGCUGGACGAAGCCUGUUGUAGGCCAUCUGGAGGUAUUGGUGGUUGUAUGCUCGCACUUUCCAUAUGGAGCUGGGAGCGUUUGCCGGUUGGACGAUCGAAGACCGUGAAGUACAAGGAUUGGGACGACAAAAACGACCCACUACGGCUCCCCACUUGGGCUUACAAGUGGGAUGUGUUAAAUGAGACGACGGAUGAUCCGUCGGUCAUGUACAAGUUGUACAAGAGCGAGCUAGAUGCGAUCACGCCUGAGCAGGUGGAAUGGGAGCCAAAUGGAAAAGGAGAGAGUUUUGGUAACCCUGUAGAGUUCAGGCUGAAUCCGAUGUGCACUAGGGAUAGGGAUCUCUGGCGUAUGCGGUGCCCACUCAUAUGCAACUGGGCGGUUGAGCUUCACCUGCCACAUCGGGUGUUCCGCCAGUUUGGUUUGUUCCAGCCACACCCGCCGGAGUGGGAGGACACGGACAAGGUGCUACACGGGUUGGAUAGGAAAAAGCAGCGAAAGAUCAAGGAUUGGGCCAAGCAUCACAGGAAGUAUGUCGUACAGUUCGCGCUUAGUGUGGAGCAAGCUAGGGCUAGAAAAUGA
rnacentral:rRNA from 1 species